rnacentral:rRNA from 1 species
AGCGAACGUUUGCGGCGGGCUUAACACAUGCAAGUCGAACGGGCUGUUCCUUCGGGGGCAGUCAGUGGCGCACGGGUGCGUAACACGUAGGUAAUCAACCCUCUGGUUGGGGAUAACACUUCGAAAGGAGUGCUAAUACCCGGUAUGGCGCAGCGGUCUUCGGAUCGCGGCGAGAAAGACCCGCAAGGGUUGCCAGAGGACGAGCCUGCGGCCCAUCAGCUAGUUGGCGAGGUAACGGCUCACCAAGGCGAAGACGGGUAGCUGGUCUGAGAGGAUGAUCAGCCACACUGGAACUGAGACACGGUCCAGACUCCUACGGGAGGCAGCAGUGGGGGAAUAGUUGCGCGAAUGGGCGAAAGCCUGACGCAGCCACGCCGCGUGAGCGGAUGAAGGCCUCGGUCGGUAA